rnacentral:rRNA from 1 species
AUGUGGGCGAAUGGCAGCAGCCGUAUGCAAUACAAAUUCUUUGGGGAUGUUGUAACGUUCGACACGAUGUACAGAACAAACCUGUAUGAUAUGCCAUUCAGCUUAUUUUUCGGAGUUAACAAUCAUUACCGGAGCAUCAUCCUGGCAGGGGUGUUAAUGCGCUAUGAGCAAGAAGAGAGCUUCGAGUGGGUUUUCACGGAAUUUCUUCGUAUGAUGGGCGGGCCUGCCCCCAGAACUAUACUCACAGGGCGAUGGAGGUCGCGAUCAAGAAAACUUAUCCUGACACUGUCCACCGUUGGUGCAAGUGGCAUGUCCUCAAGAAGGCGAAGGAAACGCUGGGCCCACUAUACACGAAGAAGAGCGAUUUUCAGGCUGAAUUUCACAAGGUAG